rnacentral:rRNA from 1 species
GACGAACGCUGGCGGCGUGCUUAACACAUGCAAGUCGAACGGAAAGGCCCUGCUUUUGUGGGGUGCUCGAGUGGCGAACGGGUGAGUAACACGUGAGUAACCUGCCCUUGACUUUGGGAUAACUUCAGGAAACUGGGGCUAAUACCGGAUAGGAGCUCCUGCUGCAUGGUGGGGGUUGGAAAGUUUCGGCGGUUGGGGAUGGACUCGCGGCUUAUCAGCUUGUUGGUGGGGUAGUGGCUUACCAAGGUUUUGACGGGUAGCCGGCCUGAGAGGGUGACCGGCCACAUUGGGACUGAGAGACGGCGCAGACUCCUACGGGAGGCAGCAGUGGGGAAUAUUGCACAAUGGGCGGAAGCCUGAUGCAGCAACGCCGCGUGCGGGAUGACGGCCUUCGGGUUGUAAACCGCUUUCGCCUGUGACGAAGCGUGAGUGACGGUAAUGGGUAAAGAAGCACCGGCUAACUACGUG